rnacentral:rRNA from 1 species
GGAGGCCACUGCUAUUGGGAUCCGACUAANCCAUGCGAGUCGAGAGGGUUCGGCCCUCGGCAGACUGCUCAGUAACACGUGGAUAAUCUACCCUUAGGUGGAGGAUACUCUCGGGAAACUGAGAAUAAUACUCCAUAGAUCCAGGAUGCUGGAAUGCACCUAGAUUGAAAGUUCCGGCGCCUAAGGAUGAGUCUGCGGACUAUCAGGUAGUAGUCAGGGUAAAGACCUGACUAGCCUACGACGGAUACGGGUUGUGAGAGCAAUAGCCCGGAGACGAUAUCUGAGACACGAUAUCGGGCCCUACGGGGCGCAGCAGGCGCGAAAUCUUCACAAUGUGCGAAAGCACGAUGAGGGGAUCCCAAGUGUUGGUUCGUAAGAAUCAUCUGUUUCUUUGUCUAAAAAACAGAGAGAGUAAGAGCUGGGUAAGACGGGUGCCAGCCGCCGCGGUAAUACCUGCAGCUCAAGUGGUGGCCGCUAUUAUUGGGCCUAAAACGUCCGUAGCCGGUUUANUAAAUGCUUGGGUAAAUUGUGUAGCUCAACUAUACGAAUACCGAGUANACUGCUGAACUUGGGACCGGGAGAGGCUAGAGGUACUCCUAGGGUAGAGGUGAAAUUCUGUAAUCCUAGGGGGACCACCAGUGGCGAANGCGUCUAGCUAGA